UCUGGUAGUUAUGGCGAGAAGGUCACACCCGUUCCCAUCCCGAACACGGUAGUUAAGCUUCUCU
rnacentral:rRNA from 1 species